UUGGCAGUAACAGCCAGGAAAAAUACAGCAAACCCCACUUGCACGGAACAUCCCUUGGUUCACCCUCCAGCCCACUGUGAUUGUUCAUCCAUCAGAGGGGUACAGAGAAAAGAGGUCUUACAGCAAAUUCUCAUAACCAUGCAGCCAGGUCCAUCUGCCUGUGACCUCAGGCUCAAGGCUGGUACAGCACCACUCUGCUACUUUGACUCAGAUUUCUGAGGAAACCACAAAGCUGUGAGGCAGGGAUGUGAGAAAGCACGCAGGCUGGAGCCCAACAAGAUAAGAAUGGCAAAAUCACAGAGGUACGGUUACUGAGCUGGGAAUGGAUGAUGCUACAGGAUUCAAAAUAAAAACACUGGCAUUAAAGGAUCUACUCAAGUGUCACAAGAUAAGCACAAGCUCCACAGAAGGAAAAAAUCAACUACAGUAAAUCACAAGUCUCAUCACAAGCUCUGAGCACCUAUCUCCUGCAGAUGGAGGAAGCAAGAAUACAAAGCAUGCAUGAUUCUGCCACUGAGGAGCUCUGAGGUCCAUGUCUGGCUCUGCACAUGCCUGUUCUUCUCAUGCCUUUUUCUGUUAUGCCUCUUGAUGAGCAUUCAUUCACGUUUCUUGUUCUUUGUUAUUUGUUGUUAGGUUCUUAAGCUUAGUUUCUGCAGUUCCCUGGUAGGGCUUUUUUAUGAGCUCCCUGUUAUAUUUUCCCCUUCUUAUUAAGUUAACAUGCACAAAAUCCCCCUGUGCACCUGCAAAUAGUAGAAAUGGUUUGAGAUGUUAUCCUCUACAGUGCAGAUCAAGUCACCAAAAAAGGCCAAAAGUAAAGGAAUUGGGAACCUCACUCUACUUUAAAUAUGCAUGCCAACUUUCUCCACAGAACAUUUACUCAACUAAAUAGGGCUAAUAGUUAAGAACUGUAGGUUUUACAUAAUUUUGCAGGUCUCACCAGAUUUUAAGACUUCCUAAGUACAGCCAGAGUAUUUUUUGUUAAUUAUGUUUUCGUAGAGUCAAAAUAAAUCUUCAUAGCAAAAAAAAAUAAGCUGAGACUCGAUCCCACCCCCCUCAAAAAAAUCCAAACAAAACACCCCUAGUAAACUCCCCAAACCCAGCCCAAUAGUCUAGGACAACACCUACCUACCACUGCCAUGCUACAGUAAUAUGAUGCCACUUCUCAAAUGGCCAAAGGGAAAAAAAAGAAAAUAAAUUGUUGUAAGCUGAAAAGGAAACAAUAUCUGCCAAUUGAGUCUCCCAUGAAAAAAUACCUUCACUUCUUGGUAGUGGAAGAAUGAUGUUGUGAUAGACCAGUUAAGAGAAUCUCUGAUCAUGAGCAAAUGAUUGGAAGUGUUCAGCAAAAGAAAUGAAUGAAAACAGGUGGAGAGGAAAAAGGAGAAAGAAGUCUGAAGACCUGAAGACAAAAGAGAUCUGACUCAAGAUGAUACAAAAAUCAUGGUAUUAAAAAUACUUGCGAUUGUAACUGAUCUAGAAAAUAAUACAUUUAUAUAAAAGGGAAUACAGUGCAGGAGCAGUUGAAAUCAAGGAAUAAUAAAGCAAAUGCUGAUUAGCAAGCAGUGAGAGAAGAGAAACAGCAGAGUUCAGCCUGAAUUGGCUGCAGAAGCAAU